AGCUUUGUGCCGUGGCACUAUCAUAGUCAAUGAGGUUUAUCUGAGGCGCAAUUAAUAGAAUUGAAAACUUUCCCCAAUACCCCACUAGGACGAGGUGAAAUUUAGCCAGCCUGGUAAUUUUUGGCAGUCUCCAUGGGGA
rnacentral:snRNA from 13 species